GACGAACGCUGGCGGCGUGCUUAACACAUGCAAGUCGAACGGACAGGCCCUGCGUUUGUGGGGCGCUCGUGUGGCGAACGGGUGAGAAACACGUGUGUAACCCGCCCUUGUCUUUGGGAUAACUCCAGGAAACUGGGGCUAAUACCGGGUAGGAGCUCCUGCUGCACGGUGGGGGUUGGAGAGUUUCGGUGGUUGGGGAUGGACUCGCGGCAUAUCAGCUUGUUGGUGGAGUAGUGGCGUACCAAGGCUUUGACGGGUAGCCGGCCUGAGAGGGUGACCGGCCACAUUGGGCCUGCGAUACGGCCCAGUCUCCUACGGGAGGCAGCGGUGGGGAAUAUUGCGCAGUGGGCGGACGCCUGAUGCAGCGACGCCGCGUGCGGGAUGACGGCCUUCGGGUUGUAAACCGCUUUCGCCUGUGACGAAGCGUGAGUGACGGUAAUGGGUAAAGAAGCACCGGCUAACUACGUG
rnacentral:rRNA from 1 species